rnacentral:rRNA from 1 species
UACGUAGGGCGCAAGCGUUGUCCGGAAUUAUUGGGCGUAAAGAGCUCGUAGGCGGCCUGUUGCGUCCGCUGUGAAAUCCCGGGGCUCAACCCCGGGCCUGCAGUGGAUACGGGCUGGCUGGAGGCAGGCAGGGGAGAACGGAAUUCCUGGUGUAGCGGUGAAAUGCGCAGAUAUCGGGAGGAACACCGGUGGCGAAGGCGGUUCUCUGGGCCUUACCUGACGCUGAGGAGCGAAAGCGUGGGGAGCGAACAGG